rnacentral:rRNA from 1 species
GACGAACGCUGGCGGCGUGCUUAACACAUGCAAGUCGAACGCGCCUGUCCUCUGGGUUUCUGGGGGGUGGGUGAGUGGCGAACGGGUGAGUAACACGUGAGUAACCUGCCCCCUUCUUCGGGAUAACGGUCUGAAAGGGCUGCUAAUACCGGGUAUUCACUGGUCUCCGCAUGGGGUCUGGUGGAAAGGUUUUUUCUGGUGGGGGAUGGGCUCGCGGCCUAUCAGCUUGUUGGUGGGGUGAUGGCCCACCAAGGCUUUGACGGGUAGCCGGCCUGAGAGGGUGACCGGUCACAUUGGGACUGAGCUACGGCCCAGACUCCUACGCGAGGCAGCAGUGGGGAAUAUUGCACAAUGGGCGCAAGCCUGAUGCAGCGCCGCCGCGUGAGGGAUGGCGGCCUUCGGGUUGUGAACCUCUUUCGCCCGUGGUCAAGCCGCGACGUGGGUCGUGGUGAGGGUAGUGGGUAAAGAAGCGCCGGCUAACUACGUG